rnacentral:lncRNA from 1 species
UAAUUAUUUACGCUAUUUCUGCUAGAGUUACUAAUGCUCUUUUGUUUCUGGUUUUGUUUUUCCUUUCCUUCACUGAGCCGAGGGUCGAUUGGAAACAGCCUCUCUGCCCUUUCGGGUAGGGUAAGGUCCGUCUAUAUAUUAUCCUCCCCAGACCCCACUUUGUUGGACUAUACUUGGUAGUUGUUGUUGUUGUUGUAUAGGACUUAGCAAAACUCUCGAGACAUUUUUACUAUUUAAAGGAUGAUGAAUUAAAAAAAUAUGAAAGAUUGUUAGAGUAUAGAUCCAUCAAUUAUUUGACACCAACGUAAAAGAAACCAAGUAAAAUCAAAGAAAAUAUAAAUCACAUUGUAUUAAUGUUUCACUAAGCCGGGACUCAAAAAUAAAGUUUAUAUUAAAUAUACAAAAAGAUAAAUUUAAAUUGUAUGAAAGGAAACACAUCCAAUACAAUGUAAUUUGCUACUCAUAAUCGCUAAAAUACUUUAUGUCUUGCUGAUAAAGAUACUUGAAAUAAUUUAUUUUAAGUAUAAGUAACAUAAUAGAUUUAAGGAUUUAGUAUUUUGAGUUUAAUUACUUGUUGGCUUGUAACAAUUUUCAUAAUUCCAAGACCCAAUGAAAAAUUUAAUGUUUUAUUAGUUUUAAGCUUACUAUAUAAAUAUAUUUUUUCCGUAUAAAUUUAUUCGGUAUGGUUCGGUAUUUUUUCGGUUUAUUUUUAUUAUAAAAAAAAUCUACCCUAAUUUUCGGUAUGGUUAUAGAUUAUAUAAAAACCUAUGAUUUCUUUAAAAGAAACCUACAAAUUGGUUCGAUGAGGUACGGUUCGGUCGGUUUAGUCAGUUUUUAGAUAUCCAUUGACACCCUUAUAUAUAUGCAUACAUACUAUUAUAUAGUUUCGGCUAAACCGUAUGGAUGGCGCAACACCACAUCCCUUACACAUAGGUCUACCCCUAAAUCCAUAUAGGAAAUGGGCAUGUGCAGCUUACCUUCAUAAGGAAGCAUACUGUAGCACACCCUCCCAAACAGAAAAUCAUAAAAGAGUUAAAAAUUUUGAAAUAGAAGAGGAACCAUUACUUAUGGUUAGGCUAAGGUUUCACAUAUUGGUUUUGAUAAUAAUAAAUCAACGUUAGUUUUAAUCAAAGAAUAUUUAGUUGUGUUAAAUUUAUUUUUGCACAUGUUUAUUUAGUUGAAAAGGAUUUGGUUGGACUUUGCUUAUAGAAGAAAUAAUGAACUCAAGGAGUUGAAUGAAAAUCUAUGAAAAAGAAUAGAAGUCUUGCAACUAAGGAAAUAAGUAAGGAUGGGAAGAGGACAAGUCUGUCGAAAAUCAAGGAAGAAGAAAUCACAGAGGAAUCAGGAACGAGACUACAAAGAAGUGCUUAUAUUAAGGAUUUCUAGCUCGCUAAAUCCUUGGCCAGAAUAUUGUGCAAGAAGACUUGGAAGUAAUAUCAUUGAUCACACCAAAGAAGGAAUCAAAUCAGAAGUGGCUAAUUAGCUCUUUAUAUGAUUUCCUUCUACAAUGAGAGACGGUUUACUCUACUAUAUAAAGAGAAGGUUCAAUCACUUGUAGGGAAGAUCAUUCACUGAAACAAAAGCAAUAUAGCUCUUCUUUUCUGACUCGUAUUCUUGUUUAUUAAUUUAUUCAGUCUUUACAGUUCUCAGUUCUCAUACUGUUAUCACCUCGAGGGUACUUUCAUUCAAGGCUGAAGCUCUGUAUGCAUGCUCGUUUGGAUUAUUUACAUCUCAAUUCUACCUCUUACUUAUCAAUUGAUAUUGGGAGAAAUCACAUAUCCUUAAAACAACAUUAUAAAUUUUAUUGGUAUCCAAAGUUUAGGGUACACGGUUUUGCACCCACUGUGGGGCUAAGGAUAGUAGUGAUCAUUCAAUACUGAUUCUGAUGACACACACUACAUUAUGCUUGGUCUUGUCAAGUAUUUUUGUUUUCAGGAUAAAAUAUCUCAAACUCACAAACAGCACCCACAGAUGGUGAUAAUGGCCUCGGAUUCCAUGGAGACGACAAUGUAAUCGCUCCAGGGGUCGAGGUGCCACAAGUUGAUCUCGAGAGCAACCUUGUGGACGUAAGUUCACAAAUUGCUCUAAACGCGAACCUGGGAGCGGACCCAAAGGGAGUAUAUGCAGAGAAGGCUGAUAUGGUGGUCGAGGAUCAUAGGUCAGAGGAGAUGGAGGAUUCAAUCUCCAAAUGAUAUUCGAGAUGCCACAGGCUCAACAAGCCACUAUUUUCCAACUACAAAAUCAGCAUCGAACGACGAGCGGUGUUGAACCGGAGGCCAGCCGCUGGAUCGAGCCAGUGCCAGAAAGGUCGAAUACUAGUGAAUAGGGGACUGACCCUACAAUAAUGAAGUUGCUCGAGGAUCUCACCAAACGAAUUGAAUCGGGGGAGAAGAAUAUUGAGGAACACUACAAAAUGGCAGAAGCGCACAACUCCCAAGUUGAUCAAAUUCCGGGGGCACCACCGAUAGUGGAAGGACUAGAUUCUAAAUGUUCAUGCAAAGACCCUUCCCCAUGGUGUGGCUCCGAAGCCAAUCACCAAGAAGUUUUGUAUGCCUAAGAUCCCCAAGUAUAAAGGGAAGAUCGAUCUGAAUGAACACAUCACCUCGUAUAUGUGCUCCAUCAAAGGAAAUGAUUGUUAGAUGACGAAAUUGAAUUCGUACUGUUGAAAAAGUUCGAGGAGACUCUAUGGAAGGGUUCCUUAAUAUGGCACCAUAAAUGACCCCCUAAUUUUAUUAAUUUGUUUUCUAUGAUUGCAUAUUAUUUUGUAAAGGCACAAACUGAGACAUUAAAAUUGCAACGAGGAAGUCGAACCUUUUCAAGGUAAGGAAGAAAAAUAACGAGGUGCUCAGGGAAUUCGUAUCUCGAUUCCAAGCGAAGAGAAUGGAUUUACAUCCGGUCACCGAUGACUGGGCUGUUCAAGCUUUCUCCCGAGGUCUCAACACUCGGAGUUCCAUAGCUUCAAAGUAUUGGAAGCAAAUGUUAAUUGAGUACCCGGCUGUCACUUGGGCAGACAUACAUAAUCGAUAUUAGUCGAAAGUUAGGGUCAAGGACGAUCAACUUAGGGCUCCUUCGGGUCUGUUUACCCUAGCAAGACCAUGGGUAGGAUCAAAUGUGAUAGGUUUUAAAUGUUAUAGCAUUAUGAUUUGAUGAUCCAACAAACUUACUAUUAAGAACCAGAUAGGGAACCUGACCUACUCGAAUUAUACUGCAAGCUUAACGAAUUCCAGCUAAAUGUGAACUGCUACAACUUCAGUAGCUAGGAAUCCCAACGAGGAUCUGAUACCCUUGUGGUUCCCUCAUCACUGUACAACUCAAUUGGUCACAGCUAGAAAUGAAGUGACUGACUGCACUAAUUCUGCCACACUGCACUAUCUCCACCGCCCACAAGUUAGUAAAAGUCUUUGUAACUAGGAAGUUAGUGUCUUGUGGUAAGAGUAAAACAAGUUAGUUGAGUAAAUUCUUUGUAAUGGAUUCAUUGCAAAUCGGCUUGUAAUAAGACUUUUACAAGUUAGUGAAGUUGAAAGCCUACAGGUGUAGGUCGAAUUUUUCUAUCCCUUGUGUGGGAUUUUUCCACGUAAAAAUUCUCUGCCCUAUUUACGUAGUAUUUUAUUAGCAUUCUCAGCAGAAUCUUGUAGAGGGCCAAGUACGCUACUGUUUGGUGGACUUAUACAAACUAACAAUUGGUAUCAGAGCAGGCUCCUCCUAUCAAGCUAUCACCUAGGAAAGAUCCUCAUGGCUUCUCCACCAAAUUUUGAAGAAGGUCAAUCAACAUACCGACCAUCCAAGUUCAAUGAACAACACAAUGGGUGGUGAAAAACAAGAAUGCAUGAUUUUAUCAUGGCUAAGGAUUGUGAGCUAUGUGAUAUCAUAUGCGAUGGUCCUUAUGUUCUAACCAAGGUACUAGAGGAAUUUCCAUUUUCAAUAGCAAAAACCAGCAAAUAGUACAUUGAAGCGGAUAAGAAAGUUAUGGAUAUGAAUUUUCAUGCCAAGAGAAUUCUAGUAUAUGGAAUAGGACCUGAAGAGUACAAUAGAAUCGCCACCUGCGACAUUGCUAAGGAUAUAUGGGAAGCUUUGCAAAUAGCUCAUGAGGAAACUGCACAAGUAAAACAGUCUAAGCUUGAUAUGCUCACUACCGAGUAUGAACUCUUCAAAAUGAGGGACGAUGAAUCCAUUCAAGAUGUGCACACAAGAUUCACUUACAUCAUAAAUGAGUCACACUCACUUGGUGAAACUAUUCCCAAAAACAAGCUAGUAAGGAAAAUCCUCAGCUUUAUGCCUAGAUCUUGCGAAAGCAAAGUGAAUGCUAUUACUGAAUCAUUGGACUUACAGGAGAUGACAAUAGAAGAGUUGCUAAGAAACUUGAAGACCUGUGAGUUGAAGAGAAAGAUUGACAGUGAAAUAAGAGAAUCAAAGAAGGAAAAGAACCCGGUACUUAAAGAUGAUAACAAUGAUUCAAGUGAGGAAGACAAUGAAAUGGCUUACUUAACCAAAAUAUUUCAGAAUAUGGUCAGAAGAAAUGGAGAAAUGCUAAAAAGGGACAACUCUAACAGACCAAAAAACUGUGAUCUUUGUUACAAGUGUAGAAAGCCUGGACACUUCAUGAAAGACUGUCCUCUCUUGAAGCAACAAUUCUCCAAGAUCUACUAUGAGAGAACAGCUAAGACGAACCCGAUUCCUUUCAAGGAAUUCAAGAGAAAAAGAUCCGCUGACAAUUUGAUGAGGCAGGCUCUUGCAGCAUGGGGGGAUUCCUCUAGUGAGUCUGAAGAUGAACCAGGUACUAGUGAUAGUUCCAUGAUGGCAGUUGAAGGCGAUGAGACUGGAUAUGACUCAACUUUUGCUUUGAUGGCUUAAUUAGAUGAUGAUCAAGACAAUGGCACCAAAAAUGUAAAUUUUAGGGAUGGUCAGAGAAAUAUGAAAUCCUUUUCUGCAAAAAUCAAAACUCAUGUCUUUACCUAAUGUAUUAAUCACUGCUUUUCAUAGUCUUGGGGAGAAUAGGGAUUCUUUGACAUUAGAAUAAGGAGAAUCUCAACAAACUAGAGACAGCUUAGUGGUUGUAGUUAGUGACCAUAAGAAAACCAUUGAAAUCAUCAUAAAAGAAAAGAAUGAUUUGUUGACAGAAAUUGCAGACAAAAGGGAAACAAUAGUGAAACAGUGGACUAAGUCAAAACCUGAAAAUUCUGGAAAGGGAAAGAAGAUAGCCAGUGAGGAACACAUUAGGCUUGAAAAUGAGGUGAAGGUUAUAAUAUCUAUGAUGUGUGCUGAAAUUGAGAACAACAAGCUACUAUAAAAUAAUAUGGAAAGAGUAAUGAAUGAUCUUGAAAAGCCCCUAAAGUGGACCUAGUCCUCAGAAGCUACCACUACCUUGCAUACUAAUGAUUGUGAAAACGGGCAAGGAAUAGGGUUCCAAAGGGAGAAAGCUCCUCACUAUCCUCAUAGUAAGUAUGUCACUGUCUUUGAUAACUAGUUGUGUACUAGAUAUGGGAACACUGGGUGCUUCAAGGAAGAUGUCCAUUCCAAGAAUCAAUCGAUUCAAAAAACAAAGUGUUUGCUGAAUUGGUGACUACAAAAGAGGAACCAGGUUCCACUCACAAAAAUGCACAUUACCUACAUGGACUAAGAGAACUCUUAUUCAUCCUCUUAUCUACUACAAGGAGCCCAAAAUUUAUUGGGUUCCUAAAACUAAAUCUUAAUCUCAUGUGCAUGGAACAGCGAAAGAAAGAGGUCAACAAUGGUUCAUAGAUAGUGGGUGUUCAAAGCACAUGACUGGGAACCCCACAGACUUUCUUUCACUAAAAUCGCUUCAAGGAAUGAGUUUAUCCUUUGGAAAUGGUAAAAAAGGGUACAUUCUCGGAGGGUGAAAAGUUGGGAAGAUACUCACUCAUUCUAUUGAAAUUGCGUACUAUGUCAAUAGCCUUAAGUACAGUCUCUUUAGUGUCUCUCAAAUCUGUGAUAAAGGAAAUAAGGUGGAAUUCUUGUCCAGAAUAUCUAUAGUCACUAAUCUUGUGACCCGUGAAAUAGUUCUUGUGGCCAAAAGAUACAAGAACAUCUAUGUCGCUGAUGUCGAGUCCUUACAGAGUGGUGAUCUGAGUUUUCUGAAAGUUGUUGAUGAUAAUAUUGAACUAUGGCACAGAAGAGUGGGCCGUGCAAGUUUUUCUCUUCUGAACAAACUAAUUCAGAAGGACCUGGUCCAUGGUCUACCUAUGUCACAAAUCAAGAUACAAAAAAUCUGUGAUGCAUGUGCUAGAGGAAAACAUGUAAAGUCCUCGUUUAAGUCUAAAAUAGAUGAGAGCACCUCAAAGCCACUAGAGCUUCUACAUAUGGAUAUGUGUUGACCUAUGAGAGUGCAAAGCAGAGGAGGAAAAGGUACAUGUGAGCACCUCAAAGCCUCGUUUUAAAUGUUCUUUCCUUACGUUUUGAUGAUCUAACAAACUUACUUUUAAGAACCAGAUAGGGAUCCUGACCUACUCAGAUUAUACUGCAAGCUUAACGAAUUUCAGCUAAAGGUGAACUGCUACAGCUUCAGGAGCUAGGAACCGCAAUAAGGAUCUGAUACUCUUAUGGUUCCCUCAUCACAGCACAAGUCAAUUAGUCAUAGCUUGAAAUAAAGCGACGUACUGCAUUAUUUCUGUCGUACUACACUGUUUCCAGCGCACACUCAUUCUCUAACCAAAUAAAGUGCUCACAUAAUUUCAAGUGGUGUGAUCAAGGUGUACCUACAAUGAAUUUAUAUAAAACAUCACUUGAAUUUUUCAGUUUCUCAUUCAAGCUUCUUGCCAAAACAGAGAAAUCAAUCCUCACAAGCUGGUAGAACAAAGUUGAAUGCAACUAUGCACAUGUUCCUAAAAGAUAGCUUGUUGUUGUCCUAGUUGAGUUGUAACUUUGUAAUGGUACUUAUUAUAUCUCCUAAACUGCUUAGCUAGACGCGUUUGAUUAGGAAUCCUCUUGAAAAUCCGUAAACUCCUUGGGUUUAUGUUGUGACUAGGUUUAGUCAAAAGCAUGUCUUUAUAACUGUAGAGUUAAUAAGUUUCUUGUGGUGAGAGGAUCAGAAGUUAGUAAAAGUCUUGGUAACUAGGAAGUUACAAAGUGGCUUGUGGUAAGUAUACCACAAGUUUAGUAAAUUAUUUACAAUAGAGUCAUUACAAAGUGGCUUGUAGUAGGUUUUUAUACAAGUUAGUGAAGCUGAAAGCCUACAUGUGUAGGUCGUCAUUUUUUUAUCCCCUUGUGUGGUAUUUUUUCACGUAAAAAUCCUCUGCCUUAUCUACGUACUAUUUUAUUACGAUUCUCAACAGAAUCUUGUAUAUGACCAGGCACUCUACUAUAUGGCGGACUCAUACAAACUAACAAAAAGGGAUAUCGAUUGAGAACCAAGGUCGAAUAUAGAUCUCUAUGAACCGUACAACGAAGAUCGAAAAGGCAGCGGUUCUAGGCGAAGCUUCACGCAAAUGGGAGGAGAACUAAUCGAGGUCAAAAUUCAUGGGGGCUUGAUGAGGAGGAAGAUCACAUUAAAUAUCCAUAAUUUGAAUAAAGGUACAACCACAUUCCAAUUCUUUCUAUUUUUUGACUAACACAUGCAGGUGAUAGGAAGGGAUCGACACGAAGAUUUGGAUCAUAAAGCACGUGUUUCACUCUUGUCCCCUUUGGAUCUGAGCUUUUAUGCUUUUUCUCUUACGCAUAUUUACUUAACUGUUUCGGGUUCAAUCUCAAAUUCGGGAUUCGACUCGAGCUCAUUUGACCCUUAAGUUAUUUAUAGUUGCCCCUUAGGCUCUUACGCAUUCGGUCGAGACGAUCAUUUAUAUGGGCUGGCGAUAGUGGAUCUUAUGCAUUGGGUCAAUACGACCAUCUAUAUGGGAUGACAACAGUUGCUCUUAUGUAUUGGGUGUGUACGACAUCUAGUAUGGCUGGCGACAGUGGCUCUUAUGAGUUGGGUCGGUACGACCUCUAGCAUAGGCUUUAUUUUUCCUUCGUUAAGGACUUUUUUAAAUUGUGUUUGCCUGAGUCAUCGAUGGUUCAAUAAAAAACUCGAUUGUGAGUCAUUUUGUGGGGGUGAAUGAGCACCUUGGGAGGUUUUGGCUUGGUUGCUAAGUAUCUCGAAGCCUUUAGUUUAGAGCUGAAUAUGGUCGAAGCUCUUUUGCCUAUAUCGAGGGUAGCAUAUUUAACCUGUUCUUUUCAAAGUAUUUCAAAGUAAUUGAAGGCCUGUGAUUUUAUAGCCACGGUCGGGCGUCCCUAGUUGCGUUAGUUUGGUUGGUGCAACCUAGUGACCAUAGUCAUUGUGUUUGGACGGAGACUUUCAGUUCCUGAGUGAAGUAGUUUCGCCGUCUAUAUCGAGGGUAUGCCUUUUUGGGGUGUUACAAGUUCGAUAUAUAUUCUUAACUUUAAUAUCGAGUUUAUGCCUUUUGCAAGGUUUCAAAUGUUUUCAUACCUUUGAGGCCUUACAGUUUUAGUUACUUGGUACAAGUAUGGUUCAUGCCUUGCUUGAAGUCAUACAGUUUCGGUCACUUGGUACAAGUGUGGUUCAUACCUUGCUAGAGGUCUUACUAUUUUGGUCACUUGGGACAUGUGUGGUUCAUGCCUUUCUUGAGGUCAUACUGACCCAAUGCAUAAGCGCCACAGCCGCCAGCCCAUGUUAGAGGUCGUACGGACCCAAUGCGUAAGAGCCACUAUUGACAGCCCACAUUAGAGGUCGUACCAACCCAAUGUGUCACGACCCAAACUGGAGGUCCAUGACUAGCACCCAGCCAUACUUGCCGAGCAAGAACGUAUAUUUUAUCUAACCUUCCUUAUUAUCUUUUAGGGCUGACGAGAUCAAUAUAAAUAGUAGACAUGGAUAGUGGACAACAACAAUGAAAGAUGAUGGCAUGAACAUACAUAACAUGGGAUGAUCAGACAAUCAAGAAAUUAUAUAUAAGGUACGAGCUACCAUGAAAUACUAUACAACAAAAAUCAGCCGACAAGGCAUACCCAACUAUACAUGAGUUGACACCUGUCUAUGAGCUUUAAUUGAACACAAAUGCUGCAACAUUUCCAUAACAGGGCCCCGACAUUGCCCAUAAUAUCUAUAGCAAAAAUUCAUACCAAGACCAUGUCAUGUCCGGAGAAAGGAUCUAACUAAUAACCGCUGAACUGAGCAGCCUACUGUGGUGGGGGAUCUGGGUCUACCCGUCUAUCAGGACCUGCAAUAUAAUAUACAGCGUCCACAAAAAAAGGACGUCAGUACGAAUAAAGUAUUGAGUAUGUUAGGUAGGAAAGCAUACCUACGAGCAGUAAUGUAAACAGGGAUAGAGAAUAUACAACCGGUAACAUUUGGGUACCUCUGAGGGCAACUGACAUGAAAUACAUGAUACAUACAUAUAUAUACAUAAGCGUUUAAAACAUACGCAUCACAUGCAUCAUCAUCAUGUAAAAACGUAAUAGGCUUGGUAAAAAUGUACUCGGCCAUUAUAAGGCUCGGUAAAAUUGUACCCGACCACGUGGAGCUUGGUAAAACCCAACUGAUCAGUAGUUGCACAAUAGGUGUCGUACCCGGCCGACUAUAGUUCGGCUCGAUAGAUCAAAAUAGAUUCAUAUAAAUAAUGCAUGCUCGACUCAUGGAAUCACGUUCAAAACCUUUCGGAGUGACGUAAGGUAGGUAUCCCCUGUACACAUUUUAGGAAUAACUAUUCAUCAUAAAUCUUGUAAGAAUUAGGAAGUACCAACAACAUUGAUAACUUAAGAAUAAGAGAAGCAACAUCAACAUCAAUCAUUCUAUAAGAAGGGAAUCAAUGUAAGUAUUGCUAGAUUCGAAGAGUGGAGUAUCUUUGGAAGCUCAUUCAUUACAUUAUGUACAAUCGGAGUCGUGCAAAAGAGGUAAUGGGAUAACCUCACAUACCUUGUAUAUAUUUCCCAGCCUCAAGUUAUGCAAUUUCACAACUUUUUAGUCUACAAUAAGAGAAAUGAUACUAUCGUUAUCGUUUAGGCGUUGUAACUAAAUAACAUCAAUGUUAAUAAUAUUGAAACUCCCAAAACAUCCCACCAACCGAUAACAUUAGUACCAAGCCUUUCGAUAUAUAUUUCACAAGUUCUAGCUUCAAUGACUAGGCCGCAACUUGGAUAAUCUUAAAUACAUGUAGAGUAAGAUGUUGCUUACCUUUAGACAGAAAGAAAAACUCCAAUUUGAACUUAAUUUACCACGAAAUAUCCCUUCAAUGUUGCCACAACAACACGGAUGCAAAACUAGCAAUCAAUUAGGGUGUUUCGGUACUAGAAUCACUUUAGAAGGCAUGCACUCACCUAAGGUUGAUAUUAAGAACUUGAGGAAGUACUUACAGAACAUAAACCCCUUAAAGAAACCACCCACACUAGCUGGAACAAAAAAAAUGAGCAACAACAAGAAACUUACUAGCGCCACGAGAACACUUGAUUUGUGUUGUUUGCUCUUUGUUUGGGUCAUGAAUCUUGAGAGAACCUUGAGAGGGUGUUUCCAGGAUUCUAAGGCCUAAUAUACUGAAAAAGUGACUUAAACGGGUUGGAGGUAUCAUAUAUAUAUAUAUAUAUGUCUUAAACCGUCUAAGUGGCCCCAUAGAGAGCUGCUUGGCGCAGUCUCGCGAAAACAUGAAUAUCUCUCUAACUCGAGAUUGUAUCGAUGAACGGUUUAAUGAGUUAGAAACUAGGCUCAUAGAUCUUUAAAUUUUUGGUUAGAUCACCCGUAAUUCCAAGUAAAUUGGGAGAAAAGCUUAGUAACAUUUGACCGAAUGUUUAAGUAAAACUAUAAACGUGAGUUGCGACAACUUUUAUCGACUUUUGUUUAUUAACUCGCUUGACUUCAAGACUUAUGAUACAGUUAUUAUAUGAUUAAAAUACCUUAAACAUGACCUCUUGGGUAUAUUAAGAAUCUCUAGGUUUACUCAAAAAUACGGUUUACAACAUCGUUGAUUUGUUUAACUUGUAAUAUUUGUUAACCACCCUUAUACACCUUUGUAUCACAUAAUACCAAUAUGAUUAACUUCUUAUUAUCUUAAAGUUAAUCUCUUCUAAAUUUACUUCAACUACCUUAUUGCAUGAACUAACAUAUGUGAAGAUGGGUUGUAGCACCCUUCCCCCCUAGAAAUAUUUGUCCUCGAAUGUAAGGGUUUAUGGGGAAUCCAAAUCAUUGUGGAUUCCAAUGGAUAUUUCCGGUCAAUUUUCCCUAAUAAAAUGUUCAUUAGGGAAGCUUGUAAGCAUUUAGCCCAACGUAUGGCCUCAAAAGGCUACACAAUAUUACAGAUAUGUACAUUAUCUAUAUAUCACCAUUUUGUAUUAAGGAAGAUAUUCUCAAGUUAUUGCUUACCUCAUAGAUCUGUUUCAGCUUCUAAUCUAUCUUGUGUCCCACCAGUAUCCUUGUUACCUUCAUUCUAGAAUAGGUAAGGGUAUUUAGACAUCACCUCCUCUUCUGCUUCCCAUGUCAUUUCAUCCAUAUUCUUGUUUCUCUGCAAUACUUUGAUGAGGCUACAUCCUUUCUUCUCAUCUUGCGAACUUCUCGAUCUAAUAUAGCCACUAAAACUUCUUCAUAUGAUAUAUACCUUAUAACUUGUACAUGUUUGAUAGCGACGACCCGAGAAAGGUCUCCAAUAAAUUUCCUCAACAUAGAUACAUGGAAUACCGGGUGGGAAAAUUCCUAUUCAGAUGGCAAUUCUAACUCACAAGCAACGUGUCCAAUUCAUUGAAGAAUUUAUACGGCCCGAUAUACUACGGACUCAGCUUACUUUUCUUCCAAAAACGCAUAACACCCUUCAUCAGUGUGAUCCUCAGGAAAACCCAAUCGCCAACCUCAAACUCCAGAUCACGACGUCGGACAUCGGAAAAAGACUUUUUCUUGCUUUGUGUCUCCCCCAAUCGCUCAUAUAUCACUUUCACCUUCUCAAUGGCUUGGUGAAUCAAAUUUGGCCAAUAUAAUUCUAUUACUAUGAGUUCGAACCAUCCAACUGGUGAUCUACAUUGUCUCCCAUACACUAAUUUGUAUAGAGCAAUUUUAAUACUGGAAUGGAAGCUAUUAUUGUAGGAAAUUUCUAUGAGUGUUUGAUGGUCAUCCCAAUUCCCCUUGAAAUCUAGAACACAUGCUCGUAGCAUAUCUUCAAGUGACCGAAUGGCACGUUCAUCCUCUACAGAUGAAAUGCAGUGCUGAGAUUCACUUGUGUGCCUAAUCUUCUGAGAAGACCUCUAAACGUUAGCCGUAAAUUGAGCUCCUCAGUCUGAUAUAAUAGAUACUGGCACACCAUGAAGCCUAACAAUCUCCUUGAUAUACAACUUCACAUAAUCAUCAGUCGUGUAAGUUGUCUUAAAUAGCAGAAAAUGGGCACAUUUUGUAAGUCGAUCAGCAAUCACCCAGAUAGAUUCAAUCUUAUGAUAAGAGCGAGGUAAUCCAAUAAUGAAGUCUAUAUUAAUCACCUCUCAUUUCCAAGUCGAAAUUUCUAUAUUCUGAAGAAAUCCACCGGGUUUUUGAUGUUCUAUCUUGUUGACAAUUGGCAUACUGGCUACACAUUAUACAAUAGACUUCUUCAUGUUAUCCCACCAAUACUGCUCCUUGACAUCAUGAUACAUCUUUGUGCCGUGUAAGUAGUCUUAACUGGUAGAAAAUGGGCACAGUUUGUAACUCGGUCAACUAUCACCCAGAUGGAGUCAAACUUAUGAUAAGAGUGAGUUAAUCCAAUAACGAAUUCCAUAUUAAUCACCUCCCAUUUCCAGGUCAGAAUCUCUAUAUUCUGAAGCAAUCCACCGGGUUUUUGAUGUUCUAUCUUUACUUGUUGACAAUUGGGACACUGGGCUACAAAUUCUGCAAUAGACUUCUUCAAGUUAUCCCACCAAUAUUGCUCCUUGACAUCAUGAUACAUAUUUGUCGAGACGGGAUGGAUGGAAUAUCGAGAUUUAUGAAUCUCAUUCAUAGUCUUCUCUCGCAACCCUGCCACAUUAGGCACACAUAGUCGGCCUUGGUAUCUCAGUGCCUCAUCUCAUCCGAUCUCAAAAGACAUAAUAAUUUGCAUUGUUGAAUGCUCUCUCUCAAUCAUACUAAGAUACGAUCUUCAUAUUGUUGUGAUAUUACCUCGGCUAGAAAAGAUGAUUUUGAUGUAUUCUGUACACUAAAACCUUUUCCAUAAGAGUCUAACAAUAUGAUUCUCGUAUUGGCUAGCUAAUGAAGCUCUUUAGUCAACCCCUGUCUACCUGCCUCAAUGUGUACUAAGCUUCCCAUUUACUUACCAUCGAGAGCGUCUUCCACAACAUUAGCUUUACCAUGUGGUACAAUAUCUCGGCAUCGUAAUCUUUCGGUAAUUCAAUCCACCUACGCUGCCUCAAAUUCAACUAUUUUUGCUUGAAGAUGUAUUGUAAACUCAUGUGAACUGUGUAGAUUUCAACAUGGACAUCGUAUAAGUAGUGCCUCCAUAUCUUCAGAGCAUAUAUUACUGCAGCCAAUUACAAAUCAUGGGUUGGGUCAUUCUUUUCAUGCUUCUUCAAUUGUUUUGAUGUAUAUGUAAUCACUUUCUGGCGUUGCAUCAAUACGCACCCAAAACCUAUACCAAAGGCAUCACAAUAUACCACACAACCUUCUGUUCCUUCAAGGAGAGUGAUCGCUGGCACAGAUGUCAAUCGAUUCUUCAGCUCCUAAAAACUACGUUCACAAGCGUCAAACCACUGGAACUUAGUUGAUUUCUAUGUUAACUUAGUCAAUGGUACGAUAUAAAGGAAAACCCUUCUACAAAUCACUUGCAAUAUCUCGAUAGCCCUAGGAAGCUGCGGACUUCUGAUGGCGUUGUAGGUCUCGGCCAAUUCUUUAAUGCAUCGAUCUUCUGAGUGUCGAUACUAAUACCCUCAUUAGAUAUAAUAUAGCGAAGGAAUGCUACUGGGUUCAGCCAAAAUUCACAUUUGGAGAUCUUACCAUAUAACUUACGAUCCUGAAGCGUCUGUAAUACUAUCCACAAGUGGCUCGCAUGUUCUGCCUCUGAACGAGAAUACACCAUAUUAUCAUCAAUGAAUACAAUCACGAGCACAUCAAAUAGGGCAUGAAUACAGUAUUCAUGAGAUCCAUAAAAGCUUUUGGGGCAUUUGAUAGCCCAAAUAACAUCAUCAAGAUCUCAAAGUGCCCAUAUCUUGUCUGGAAGGCCAUCUUUGGAACAUCUUUCCCCUUAACCCCCAUUGAUGAUACCCUAAACGUUACUCAAUCUUGGAGAAAUACUUGGCAUCCUGGAUUUGGACAAAUAGCUUGUCGAUCCUUGGAAAUGGAUACUUGUUCUUUAUAGUAAACUUAUAAGCUAUAGAUAAUCGAUACACAUCCUAAACGACCCAUCUUCCUUCUGCACGAACAAAACUGGUGCACCCCAAGGUGAAGUGCUAGGCCUAAUGAAGCCGUUAUCCAGCAAGUAUUUCAAUUGCGCCUUCAACGCUUGCAACUCUACCGGGGCCAUUCUGUAGGGAGGGAUAAAGAUAGGUUGAGUUGCAGGCAACACAUCAAUGAUAAUCUCCCUUUCAUGAGGAAGGCCUUGGAAUUCAUUCGAGAAAACAUUUGGAAAUUCUUUGACCACGGGGAUUAUUUUAGAGUAGGCGGCGUCAUCUCUGUAUCCCUAACAUGAACAAGAUAAUAAAUGUAACCUUUUGAGAUCAUUUUCUUUGCCUUAAGAUAGGAAAUAAACCUACCUCUCGGUUCAGCAAUGUUCCCUUUUCCAUUCAAUGACGGGUUCACUAGGAAACUAAAACGUAACCAAUAUUCGUACGACAGUCAACAUUGCAUAGCAUGAGGCCGACCAGUCCAUUCCUAUUAUCACAUCAAAAUCAACCAUUUCUAACUCAAAAAAAUUUUCCGAGGUUUGACGACAACAAAUCACCAUAGUGAAACCUCUAUAUACCCUUCUAGAAAUCACAAAAUAUCCUAUCGGAGUAGAUAGUGCAAGAGGUUUACUUAUCAAUUCAGUUUCAACACAAAACUUAGCCACAAAGGGUGUAAUAUAUGAUAAUGUAGAUCCCGAAUUAAUCAACGCAUAUACAUCAUAAUAUAACACAAAAAAUAUACCAUUGACAACAUCUGAAGACAACUCGAGUUAAGCAUUGGUUUGAUCUUGAGCACCACUCGAACUCGGCACUGCAACUCUACCUUUACCACGAUGUAUCGAUUGUUAAAAACCAUGUGCUGGAGGUCGAACUAAUAAGGAAGAAGCAGACAUAGAUCUAAUAGGUUGAGACAUACCACCACCUCCUCUGUUAGGACAAUCCCGCAUCAUAUGGUCAGGAUGUCUGCAAGAAUAACACGCAUCAUCACCUCGACAGCACAGUCCAAAGUGGACCUUGCCACAGUGAUCACAAUGUUGUGUUGGGGUUCUCGUCUGACUAGUAUCCCUAUGAUGUUGCGAGCCUUAUGCCCUCGAACUCUAACCUGGACCAGAAUAGGUAAAUCGAUCAUAUCGAGGCCUCCAAAACUAUGGAGGAACACUAGCUACAGGAGGCGCCGAACUCCGCACAGACUGGGGCCUGACGCUGCCUUUUAAUUCAUCAUAAUACCCAGCAAAUCUCUUCCCCUUAUGCUUGCCCCUAUCCUGCUCCCUAUAUGCCCUCUGCCGACGCAUACAAUCCUCUACGAUCUAGGCAUAAGCCUAAAUACAGGAAAAAUCCAUAUCAUUUAGCAAGGAGGCUACCGUGCACUCAUUUGUCAAAUAUGUACUAGAGACGAAUACUUAUAACUCAACUCAACGCACGAUCUAGAUUCUGGAAGAAGGUAACAACCCUAAAUGUCAUGUAGCCUCCUGAUGAUAAAUAUGGCGCACUACAUGUCACGCCCCAAAUCGAGGGGCAUGACCGGCGCCCGACCGGGUAGCCCCACUUAAGCGGACCUGGUUACCUUUUGUUCCCACGUGUUAACCUAAAAUUACACAUUAUUAGUUAACCAAUAAUACUUGAUGCAACUGAAUAUAAACGGAACUCCACUUCUUACAAAACUAUACAUGUUAAUAUUAUCAGCUAGCGUAGGUUACAUAUUACGGCGCCCAUUAAGUACACAUAUAUUACACCUGUUCCAUAACCCACAUCAUUCAAUCUACAGAGCCUCUAAGAUGAAGAAAAUGAUACAAUACUUGCCGCCAACAAGGCCCCGGCUAUAUCUUUACAAAAGGACACAAAACUCCAAGAUACACCAACAAGGAUGGCAUGAGCCACACAAGGCCCCAGAAGGAAAGGGGAUCACCAAGUACUAACACUGCCGAUAAGGAAGGAGGAGCAGCUACGAACGGUGGACUGGAGUGCCUGCAGCGGACCCACCUACAAUCAUAACACGAAUGUAGCGCCCCCAGCAAAAGGGACUUCACUACAUUUGAAUUGUACUGACAUGCAUGAACAAACUCCGUCCUAAGAAAACCCAAGCCAAAAAUGCAUAUGCAAGUGUAAAUAUGAACAACAAUAGUACAACCAAGGAACAACAACCAAUCAUUUCACAGCAAAUGAUACAAUUAGUCAAACAAAGGGGCAAUUAGUGCCCCACAGGUUAUAUACUCUCCUACUGUCUCCUUUCAAAAUUCCACAUUGGUCAUUUCAUGAUUUAUAUACAUUUCAAUAGUGAUAUUGGAUCACAUUUUCCACCCUUAUUACCNNNNNNNNNNNNNNNNNNNNNNNNNNNNNNNNNNNNNNNNNNNNNNNNNNNNNNNNNNNNNNNNNNNNNNNNNNNNNNNNNNNNNNNNNNNNNNNNNNNNNNNNNNNNNNNNNNNNNNNNNNNNNNNNNNNNNNNNNNNNNNNNNNNNNNNNNNNNNNNNNNNNNNNNNNNNNNNNNNNNNNNNNNNNNNNNNNNNNNNNNNNNNNNNNNNNNNNNNNNNNNNNNNNNNNNNNNNNNNNNNNNNNNNNNNNNNNNNNNNNNNNNNNNNNNNNNNNNNNNNNNNNNNNNNNNNNNNNNNNNNNNNNNNNNNNNNNNNNNNNNNNNNNNNNNNNNNNNNNNNNNNNNNNNNNNNNNNNNNUCCACCCUUAUUACCUCGGCCACCCUUAUCACCCCAACCCACACCUUAUUUCACCGUGUUGCGGCGCGCAACCCGACCCCGCCUGACAGGUUUAGUUCAAAAACAACAUACAACACAACAACAAAUUUAAGAAACCAACAAUAGCACAUUGUUAAGAUAGAACCACAACAAGGGUAAUGUAUUUUCAUAACUAGCAAUAACAAUUUCCUCAUGUUCAUCAAUUUGUACACAAUUUGGGGUACCACAACAGUUGUUCACAACCAAUCAUACACGUUGUUCCACAAUAUUUUCAUUUCCACCAUUUCCAAACUCUUUCAAUUACAAGUUUCUCAACUUCUGCCACAAGGUGUUACCGCACGAACAACAGUCACAAGAAUUACACAACAGUCCCCACAUGGAUGCCAAUUACCAAGAAAUUUCACAUACCAAAGCAGGGCGAUUUCACAAGAUUCAGAGUUAGCAAUACAUAUCUGGAGUUAAUUAUCCUCUUUAACCUCUAGUCCAAUUUUCAAAGCAAUCAAGAAGUCAAUCUAGUUCAUGAUCAACACUUAUUCUUUGAAAUUAAACUCAGUUAUACCCAAAUUCCUUGUUUAGCUAGAUUCUAGGAUUUUAGCAACAUGCAUGAGAAUUUUAUGAAGAAUUUCAAAAUAAGUGUAUGGGGUUUCCAUCCAAAGCUUAAAUUUUGAAAUUUAGGGGAAUGGGUUAGGGAUUUUACCUGAGAAAUUAGUAGAGAAGAACAAUGCACCAAGAAAUUUCCGAGCUCCAAUAGUUUUGAAAGACUAGAUGAUGAAGAAUUAGCUUUCUCUCUCAAGAACUCUCUCUCCCUCUCUCUUAUUUUGGCCAGAAAUAUAUUAAAAAGGAGGGAGAAGGUGUUUUAAUAAAAGGUGGGUCGGAUUAAAAUCUUAAAAAAAUACCAGGCGAGCAGAAUCUACAACGCAAUCUGCGGUAGCAGAACUGACACGCAGUCCGCAGAAUAGACCGCAGAUUGGUCCCAAGUUUUAGUCCUCCUAGGGUUGGUAAUGCGGUGGAUAUGCAGUCCGCAUUCGUGUUCUGCGGUCGCAGAAUGCACCACAUAACUGACCUUCAAAAUUCUUCAAGGACCAUAUGCGAUCACUCUGUGGUCCGCAUAUUUAUUAUGCGACCGCAGAUCUGACUGCAUUUUUAACAUCAAAAAUUGGUUGCUCUCUGGAAACUUCUACGGCAGAAAUGCGGUCCGCAUUUCAGAUCUGCGACCGCAUUCUAGACCGCAGAUUGGACCUUUUCUGGAAAAAUUUCGGUUUCACAUUUUUAAGUGCAUAACAGUAAAAAGAAUCCGAUCCAUGUAGGUAGACUCGACUCAAUGAGCUGCUAUCAUUUGAGCACUCAUUCACGGGGCCUUACACUACUCAAGACUCUACUAGACACAACUCAUAAACAACCCUUAGGACAGACUUGCUCUGAUACCAAGUUUCUCACGACCCAAGAUGGAGGACCAUGACUACCACCCGUCUAUAGUUGCCGAGCACCAACGUAUAUUUUAUCUAAAUUGCUAUAUAAUCUUUUAGGGACGACGAGAUCAAUAUAUAUGGUAGACAUAGAUCUUGGACAACCAACAAUGAUAGAUGAUGGCAUGAGCAUACAUAUCAUGGGAUAAUCAAACAAUCAAGAAAAUAAAUAUAAGGUAUGAGCUACCACACUAACAUUAAAGACUAUACAAUAAAAAUUAGCCGACAAGGCAUACCCAACUAUGCAUGAGUCGACUCCUAUCUAUGAGCCUUUAAUGGAACAUACGUGCUACAACAUUGCCGGAACAAAGACCUGACACACCCAUAAUAUCAAUAUGAAAAAGACACACCAAGAACACGGCAAGUCUGGAGAAGGGAUCUAACUGGGCAGCUUACUGCGGUGGGGGAGUUGCAUCUACCCGUCUACCAAGGACUCAACACUACAUGCAACGUCCACAAAUAAAAAGGACGUCGGUACGAAUAAAGUACUGAGUAUAUAAGGGAGGAAAGCAUAAGUACGAGCAGUAAUGUAAACAGGGAUAUAUAAUAUACAACAUGUAACAUUUAGGUACCUCUGAGGGCUACUGACAUGAAAUGCAUGAUACAUAAAUAUAUAUACAUAAACUUUUAACACAUACGCCUCUGUGAGCAUCAUCAUCAUCCUGUCAUUCCCAGCCGUAAUAGGCUCGGUAAAAAUGUACCCGACUAUCAUAAGACUCGGUAGAAUCGUACCCAGCCACGUGGAGCCCGGUAAAACCUAACUGAUCAGUGGUUCCACAAUAGGUAUCAUACCCAACCUACUAAAGCGCGUCUUGGUAGAAUAAAACAGAUACAUAUAUAAUGCAUGACCGACUCAUGGAAUCAUGUUAUAAACCAUUCGUAGUGACGUAAGGUCGACAUCCUUCGUACACAUUUUAGGACUAACUCUUCAUCUUGAAUCUUGUAAGAACCAGGAAGUACCAACAACAUUGAUAACAUAAGAAUAACAUAAGCAACAUCAACAUGAAUUGUUCCAUAAGAAGUCCCACAAGUUAAAACAAGCACCAAACAACAUCAAUGUUAAUAAUAUUGAGCCUUCUAAAACAGUCCACCACCCGAUAACAUUUCUACCAAGCCUUUCAAUAUAUAUUUCAAGAGUUGUAGCUUCAAUGACUUAGCCAAAACUUUGAUAAUCUUAAAUACAUGUAGAGUUAGAAGUAGUUUACCUUUAAACAGAAAGAACAACUCCAAUAACCUUAAUUGUCCACGAAAUGCUACCACAACAAUCAGGAAGUGAAAUUAGCAAUCAAUUAGGGGUUUUCUGUUCUAUAAUCACUCUAGAAGGCUUGAAAUCACCUAAGGUUGAUACUAAUACCUUGAGGGAGAAUUUACAGAACAUAAAACCCUUAAAACAACCUCCAACACAAGCUGGAAUAACACAAAAAUGAGCAACAACAAGAAGAACAAGAAAUUUACUAGCGCCAUGAGAUUCCCGACACUUGGUUUGUAUUGUUUGCCCUUUGUUUGAGUCUUGAAUCUUGAGAGAACCUAGAGAGGGUGUUUCUAGGGUUCUAAGGUCUGAAUAUAGUAAAAAGCCUGAAUCAAAAUUGGUUGGAGGCAUCAUAUAUAUAUAUACAUACAUACAUACAUACAUAUAUAUAUAUAUAUAUAUAUAUAUAUAUAUACCAUAGAGAGGUGUUUGGCAUAGUCUCGCAAAAAAGCUAAUAUCUCUCUACCACGGUAUUGGUUCGAUGAACGGAAUGAUGCGUUAAAAACUAGACUCAUAGAUAUUCAAUUUUGUUGGUAUAUCACCCCAUAAUUCCUAUUAAAUUUGGUGAAAAUCUUAGUAACAUUUGACCAAAUGUGUAAGUAAAAUUAUGAACCUAAGUUGCGAUAACUUUUGUCAACUUUUAUUUCAUAACUCGUUUGACUUCAAGACUUAUGAUGAGGACAUUAUUUGAUUCAAAUAACUUAAAACAUGACCUCUUUAUUAUAUUAAGCAUCUCUAGGUUUACUCGAACAUAUAUUUUAGAACAUCCUUGAUUCAUUUAACUUGGAAUACUUGUUAACCACACUUAUACACCCUUGUAAGAUACAAGAACAAUAGGAUUAACUUCUUAUCUUCUUAAAGAUAAUCUCUUAAUGGAUUUAUAUUGACUACCUUAUGGCAUAAAAUACAUGAAUAUGGGUUAUAACACAAUGCGUAUGAGCCAUUGUUUCCAGCCGAUAUUAGAGGUCGUGCCGACCCAAUGAGUAAGAGCCAUUGUUGCCAACCCACAUUAGAGUUCGUACCGACCCAAUGCAUAAGAUCCAAUAUUGCCAGUGCACAUUAAAGGUCAUACCAACCCAAUUAGCAAGAUCCAGUAUCGCCGGCCCCUACAAAAGGUCGUACCAACGAAAUACGUAAGAGCCUAAGGGCUAGCUUCAAAAUAUAAACUAUAAGGGUCAAUAAGCUCGAGUUGAAACCUGAUUCGAAGAGUGAUCCCAAAAUAGAUAAUUGAAUACGCCUAAGAGCCUAAAAUGCCAGCUUACGUUAACAGGUCAUAGCAACGCAAAACAUAAGAGCCUAAGUCGCCAGCUUGCAUUAAAAGGUCGCACCGACCCGAUGCUUAAGGACCGUUGUCACAAGUCUAUAUAAAGGGUCGUACCGACCUAGAGAAUAAGAGCCUAAGUCGCUAGCUUACAUUAAGUUCCAACCAACCCAAUACAAAUAUAUGCAAAAGGCCUCGUAGAAAACACAAGAAAUGUGCACGCCGAUUCUCUAGCAUUAGGAAACACUAGACAGUAGCAAAAACCAAAAAAACUAAAUUUGAGAUCCACAACAUCGGAUCGAUUGCCGAACAAAUACCACAAGUCAUUCAUAAGGGAAAAUAGUAAAAGGUAAAGAGUUGAUACGAAUACAAAAGAUUCAUAAAAGUAUAAUUUCAAAGCCUACAUCUGGAACCCUUGCGAAGGUAUAAGGAAAAUGAAAACCUUAAUCUAUCACCAGAGCUACGCCUUUAAUGGCCUCCUUAUAGGAUACGCUUUCAGCAGUUUCUGCCAUAUCCUCCUGGUCUCCAGCGGUCUCCUCCCCUUCAGGGACUUCACCUCCUUUUCAUCACCUACUGAAUCGCUGCCCGACUCACUUUAAGGAAGAAGGGUCCAACUUCCUCUUCUAGGUUCUUCACCCUCUCAACUUCGGCAUUUAAAUAAACGCCCCUAUAUAUACAUCUUCGAGCAUCUGGUCUGGGACUUUAAUCGAGCAUAAUACACUACUUGGCUCAGGUUUAGCUCAGCCUUUUCGGACACCUUCCGGGCGCGAGCAUUUGUAGUUGCAGCGUCCUCCUUAUGCAAGGCCACUAGUGCCUUAGACUCAGCCCUAACUUUGGAUAGCAUAUCAAGCAAAUCAACAUGGAGAUGCUUAUUCUUACCACUCUCAGAACCCACCUUUCAAGGCUACGUCUGAUCGAAAUCACUUCCCCUUGGAGGGCAUCUCUUUCAGAGACUAUCUCACUCAAAUGCCACUUAAGCUUGAGAAUUUCGGAGUCCCUAAUCCGGAGCUAAUCGACCCGAAUGUAUUAAAAUAUGGAAGUCGUUCUGACGUACAGAUAAAAACAUACAUGAGUUAUGUAACCUAUUCAGUAAGAUGAGCCUUUUCUUGGGACGCCACCUCAAAGAAAUACCGAAGGAUAUAGAGUUCUUCCUCCCUCUUGGACGAAAGGGCUCUGAGCUCGUCGGCCUCUGAGGUAAGCUUUUUAUGAAUGCCCUCACAGUGAGUCAAUUUGAUUUUAAGAUUGGGGAACGUUUGGUCAUAAAGCACCUUGGCCUGGAACCAUGUAGCAAAGAAGGUUAGAAGGGAAAAAAUUGGGGCACCAAGCAAAAUUUACAGGUAGUUUACCUGCUCGUAUAGCCUUCUGAUCUCAGUAAAAAUAAGCAAAAUAUCAGACUCACAAAAGGCUUUUCGAAUGCACCUCUAUCACCACCAGGAAUCCCCACGCCGAGAGAAUGUACAUUGGGGAUAUUCUGAAUCUCUCUUAGAGGAAAGGCCGAAUCAGGAUGGGAAUCACUUGCUACAAUAACCUCGACUAGGUCAGUCAAGGGUGCCCCUGGCCUCUGAAGAACUUCAGAAUUGGGCUCCCCCGGAUUCCUGCCAAGCGUACCUUGACUCGAGGAAAUUUUUGGCGACAAAUCCUUGCAAGCCUCUUUGGCCCGAGGUACGACAACAACGGAAUUGUUCCGCGAUUCGAAGGUCGGCAACUUAACAGUGUGAGAGACAUGAUCAUCCUUCCUCUCAGCUCCAACUCGGAGACUCCCAGACAUUUUUGGAAUUAAGACCGUUGAACCGUCCUUAUGGUCUUCCUAUCUAGUUUUCAUGAAUUUCUAACAACAAGUUGGUUAUCCCCUCGUCUUUUCCUCUUUAUCAGGCAUUUGAGCACCCGCUUCCUUAGGCAGUUUUUCUAUCAUCAAGAAUGCCUUCCCAAGACUUGUCCAAAUACAAAAACAAGCAUGGAACGACCUCUGUAAAAAUGAAACUAUAGCAGAAAUUGAAGUCCCACCAUGAUCUUUGGCUUCCCAUCGAACCCUGGAUAAAUCCCGCAACACGUGCUCUGCGUAUGAGAAAAUCGAUUCCAGUUCGGCUACCCAUCCUAAAAGAUCCCUUACCGCUUCAGAGUACACCACGCUGUAUCAAUGGAGGAAGUUAGUCCACAAAAGGAAUGUAUCCAAAAGAAAGAGAUUAGCAGUUACAUGUGUAUGUCUACUUACACUUCAUGUUGCCUCUUUGGGGGAAUGACAUCCUCUCUAUGGGAAUCAAGUCCGAAGUCCUAACAUGUACAAAAUGACUCAUCUACCCCUAUUCCUAACCUCUUCGAUGAUUGAAAAUAGGGCCCUCGAGGCCCAAAAACGGAGCUUUAUUAGGCCCCCGUGAAUGAGUCGAGGACUAUAUUCUAAUAAAGUGGUAAAGGUGCAGGGCAUCGCGUCGAUCAUAUUCAUGUAAUGUCUGGUCAUAUGAAUGAUACGCUAGAAUGAUAGAUGAAUUUAGUAGAGUGUCACUUGAUAUUUAUCACAAAAGUCAUGGAUCACGGGGUCUAUCUAAGGCAUAAAGGGCACCGCUGGGCCGAGGGUAAAUGGAUAAGUAUAUACACUAAGGAAGUCGACCUUAUAUGUCAUUACAACCUCCCCUCGAGAAAGAACCUCCACCAGCACUGCAUGUCCCCACCGACAUUCAAUUUUCACCCUUUUAAUGUUUGUUAUAAAACUAAUAUACCGGUAUGCGGGUUUGCAUUGUCCGUCUUCGAAGGUCUCUUAAUCUUAAAAUUAAAGGUCGUCUCAAAGGCCCGUGGAACACACUCUUCCGUGUUAGGGAACGCUGCUGCUUUAGCCUCAGAACAGAGCGCAGAAGAGGAAGGCACAUUUCAUUGAGGGAAGGAGGCAAAAGUGUUCGCUAUUUUAAUCAGAGGAUAACAAAGAAGAAACUAAAGAUCACGUUUCGGUAAAACGCAUGGCAGAGAGACCAAAAGAUAGCCAACCACCAUAAUUAAUUCAAAUAUUUUAAUGAUUGUAUCACACGACCUUUGGAAGCCCCGUUUAUUGUAUCAGUUGCCUGGAAGAGCACAACUAUUUACUUCGAUAGAGGCACCAAAGGGAUAAGAUCUUGAGGACGUCUCUCUUUGUUUUACUCUGAGAAAUGCAGGGACUAUCUAUAUACAGCUCUCGGGAAGACCGAUUUUACAAUUGGCAAGGCAUUACGCAAUCUUGCCUCGAAGGUCCCAGAUGAUAGCCCGGGGUUUGAUGCCUCAGGGGAGUCUUCACGCCUGAUAUCAGGGCAGAAUGGACCAAUGUUUAUCGUUGAUAAGCGGGAAGUUCCCUAGGAGUUGUAUCUUCUAACAAACGCCUGCGCAAAUAGUGAUAGUGUACACUGGGCUGGUUGAGUGGUUAUAGCAUCGACUAUAUGUAGUAAUUACACACGCGUUUGUACUAUGUUGGGUUUCCCCUUCAUAUAUAAAGGGGACCCUUGCCAUUUCGGAGACAUAUGAUUCUCAAUAAUCAAUACAAGAACAUUCUUUCUUCUCUCUAACAUAACAUACUCUCUUGAUCUUAUUACUUGAAUUUAUUACUUAUUUUCAUCAUGUUCUAUUUAUUGUACUUAGUUUCCUAAACAACUAGCAUAAAAUAGAUCACAUAUUAUUAGAAGUACAAAAUCAAAUCUUAUUGUAGUUACCAUUUUCAAGGUACAGAGCUACCCGAUGGGAAAUGUUCGAUCUGCUCAUGUUGAUCAUGAUCCAUUCGAGGUCUACUUAUGGCAAUUGCAGUUGUUGCUCCUUAUAUUGGUUGGUACUUGAUUUGCUUUUCACCUAUCUUCGGUUCCACGUGUCACGCUAUUGUUCGAUCAUUUAUUAUGAACUAAAUUUACCCUCUACAAUAUUUGAAAAGUAUUUAUAUAAUUUGUUAAAUUUAUUUAUAUUUUAAUAUGGGUACAUGAAUAAAUACAAUUAUCUUAAGGGGAAAAUGACACUAUACAGCCGUUCUCAAUAUAAUAUCCAGAAAUAUACUUUUUUAUAUGUACUUAUUAUGUAUGUUAUAUACAAAAAUUAUACAAAUUUUAUGCACUUUUUCUGCUACAAAAUGUAAAUAGUUUCUGGCGCGGGAUAAAGGUGAAAGAAUCCCCGUUUUUAAUACUAUUUCUUAAAAAUACUUAUUCAUAUAAUGGAUAUGCCCAUAUGUUUUGGUUUUGAUAUUGUUUUGCCGAGUUCCUUUUUCUUAUGAUUCAAACAUUAUUUAACUAAGAUGUGUGUCACGACCCAAACUGGAGGGCCAUGACUAGCACCGGACCAUACUUGUCGAGCACCAUCAUACAUUUUAUCUAACCUUCUUUAUUAACUUUUAGGGUUGACGAGAUCAAUAUAAAUGGUAGACAUGGAUAAUGGACAGCCAACAAUAAAAUAUGAUGGCAUGAACCUACAUAACAUGAGAUGACCAGACAAUCAAGAAACCAUAUAUAUAAAUAUAUAUAUAUAUAUGGUUCGACCUACCAUGCUACCAUGAAAGACUAUACAACAAAAUCCAGCCGGCAAGGC